UGACACUGCUGUCCCCUUCUCUACUCCUGGUAAGUUCCUAUUGUGAUGUAUUUAGAUGAAUGACCCUAUUCUAAUCUGAAUCAUCGAAGAUAUAGACCACGUCUAGUUACAUAAUUAUAAACACCCACCUAUGUACUGAUGCCUUCUAAACAUGUAUGUAUCUCCAGUAUAGGUCUUUUCCUUUAAGCUCUAGAUGCACUGACACCCUCACCAUCUCUAAAAGGCAAUUGCAACUCAAUACAUAUGAUACAGAACUUUUUAUUUCCUUCCCAACUUUGCCCACGCCAGCCUGCUCCUCCUUCACGCUUUCCACUUAGUAUGUGAUCCCACUAUUCACUCAGUCUCUGAAACUUAAAACCUAGGAUUCAUCCUUGACUGAUCUACUCUCUGCUAUCUACUACUAAUGCAUUAGCAAUUAUUGCUAGCUCUACCUUCAAAGUACAUUCUGAAUAGAUUAUUUCUUGCUAUUUCCACUGCUCCCUGUCUAAAUCAAAGCCCCCGUUCUGUUUAGUGUGUGUAACUGCAGAGCCUGCUCUCAAUCAGUUCUCCUUCCAGACAGUGUUUUAAAAACAUAAAUCAAAUCAUGUUACUUCCUAGUUGAGACUUACCAGCUGGCUUCCUAAUGCAAUUAGAAUGAACUCCAGAUUCCUAAAGGUAGUCUGCACCAUUUGAUAUUUGCCCAUGUCUCUGAUCUCAUCUUCUAUCCUCAGCUUUGCUGUCUGCACCGUAGACACAAAGACUGCCUAGUAUCUCUCAAAUACUCCAAAUUUGUCUCUGUACCUAGAAUGUGCUUACAUGGAUUGUUUUCUGUUUCUCUCAGCUCAGAUGUUGGCUCCUCAGGGAAGGCUUUUCUAAUCUAGAAUAGCCUCUGUUUCCAUUGUUUUCUUUCCCUUUUCCCUGCUUUAUUUACCUCCUGGCAUUAACAUCUUCCUGGCACUAUACUACUUACCUGUCCAUCUCUCAACAUUAUACUGUAGGCUUCACACAAACACAGACUUUCCGUCUUAUUCAUCCUUGUACGUUCCUCAUAGGCACUCAACAAAUAUAUGCUGAACAAAUGUGUAGAAGGGGUGAGGUUUACAAUACUAACUCAGGCUGAAAAUAGAGGCAGUUCAUUAACUCAAUUUAUGUGUAAUGAACACAUAAACAGUCUCGGUCUAUGACUGCCUUCCUAUGCUGUUUAUAAAACCAUUCCCUUUUGAACUCACUUCUUGUAUUGCUUUGGAAGACAUCUGGCCAUUGAUACUCCUUUCUAUUCCAAGUCAAAGGGACAUCACCUUCUUUUCCACCAACCAUAAGACAGGAGGCCUCACCUGGUAUCCCUGAAAGGGAGAAAGUUGGACUCUUGCCACAAGCCAGUUGGCUCAACCUUCAAGCUCUAUCCAUUAUGAAGCCACUGUUCAGCAUGUCCACUACCCAUCAUCUCUAAACUGAGCCACCUUUACCUCUCACCUGGAGCACCGGAACACACUACAUCUGUAAUAGCAAAUUAUUGUUUAGAAACAACCCCAUUGUCCCACUGCUAUUACAGAUAGCAGUAGUAAAUGUUUUUGCUAUAGAUCAUGCUUGUUUCUUUUUCAAUUUUAAUUUUUAUUAUGUGUGUGUGUGUUUGUGUGUGUGUGUAUGUAUUUUUUUUUUUUUAACGUCUUGCUUUGUUGCCCAGGCUGGAGUGCAGUGGCAUGAUCUCAGUUCACUACAGCCUUGAGUUCCCCUGCUCAAGCGAUCCUCCUACGUCAGCCUCUUGAGUAG